GGCGCUGUGGCUUAGUUGAACAAAGUGCCUGUCUAGUAAACAGGAGAUCCUGGGUUCAAAUCCCAGCAGUGCCU
rfam:Danio rerio chromosome 4, GRCz11 reference primary assembly.